rnacentral:lncRNA from 1 species
UCUGCAAGAAUGGGCUGGAGGAGUUCAGCCUGAAAGCCCAGCAGGGAAAGGUCAUCUACGCUCUGGUCCUGAACAUCACCUCCAGAAGUGCUGGGACGUACACGUGUGGGUACCAGCAGAGGAACAAGAAAAACUGGGUGAGGAACUCUGCUCUCAGUGCUCCCCAGACCUUGUCUGUGGCAGGUGAGACAUGGCCUUAGGGUGGUGAGGGUAGAAGUUUUCAGAAAACUGCUGGGGCUGGUGCUGUGUGCUGCAGCAGGCAGGGCAUGGCUCUGGGAUGGUUCCCCCUCAGGAGUGUUCCCUCUCUUCAGAGGCAGCCCCUACAGAGAGAAAGCUGCUCUCCAGGGCUGUCCCCGUCCCUGCAGCAGCAGCUCAGCUGAGGCAUGGGGCUGUGCAGUUCCCAUGCAAAGAGAGCAAGAGCUGGGGAUGUUGAUGGACGCUGGGUUCAGCCUGGCAUGUUCCAAGAUCUACUCUGUACAUUGCUGAGCCUAUGGCAGGGGAAGUGGUGUGAUUGUCAUGAGACAGGCUAUAGCCUGUACAUCAGCAACAGUGUGGGAUGGUUCCAGAAGGGAGAGCACAGUGGUCCUGGUUUGAGAUGCCUGCUCAGCAAGAACAAACUGGAAGAAAAAGGACUCGGGUGUGGCGGUGUGCCAGGUCUUGGCCCCACUAAGAAAAACCCCUUUUGCCCCAAGGUGCAGGUGCUGGUGAGACCACCACUGAUAUCCAGAGCUCCAAAGGUGAGGACAAGCAUGAGGGUGUGCCGUUUACAUGGGCAUGUCCUGCUCCCUACCUCUCCCCAUCACACCCCGCUGCCCUCACACCCUCUGUCCCCCAGCUCCACAUGCCCCAUCCCACACACACUCCCCACAGGCACGGUGCUGGCAGUGGCGGCCGUCGGCCUCGUCCUCCUGUCUGCAGGCAGCUGGUUUGCCAUCAGGAAAGGUGCCUGCAGAGGGAGAUGCCCAAGGUGAGCACCAAGGGCUGCUGACUGUGGGGUAUGGGGGAGGUAGUUGGGGGCAUAUUGAGGUCGUGGGGUGCUGCUUGGCCAGGGGCAGCAUUCUCUG